rnacentral:misc_RNA from 1 species
GUCGAACCAAAACAGAACUUAAUAUCCAAAGAGUCAUCAAAACUCUAAUCCAAACAACAGAAACUCAUUAUCCUCCAUAGCCUAGAUAAAACAGUUGAGACACUUAACCAAUCUAUGUCUGCAUCUCCUCCUCAGACCCAGAAGCUCCGUUCUGCUUGUUAUGCUUCCUCGCGUACCUCUGGUUCCUCAGGAACUUCGGAUCCAUCCCCUUAGUGGAGGAAUGGCGAUGCUUGCGGGGCUUCUUGAUCCCAUUCCGGUGCGCCUUGUACGACUGGUUGUGAGCGGUGUGGUUCUUCGACUUCGCCAUCGCUGGGGCGGCGAACUUCGGCGGCGAGGGCGACGGAAACGGC